UACGGAGGAUCCAAGCGUUAUCCGGAAUCAUUGGGUUUAAAGGGUCCGUAGGCGGAUUAAUAAGUCAGAGGUGAAAGUUUGCGGCUCAACCGUAAAAUUGCCUUUGAUACUGUUAGUCUUGAAUAAUUGUGAAGUGGUUAGAAUGUGUAGUGUAGCGGUGAAAUGCAUAGAUAUUACACAGAAUACCGAUUGCGAAGGCAGAUCACUAACAAUUUAUUGACGCUGAUGGACGAAAGCGUGGGUAGCGAACAGG
rnacentral:rRNA from 1 species